AAAUUGAAGAGUUUGAUCAUGGCUCAGAUUGAACGCUGGCGGCAGGCCUAACACAUGCAAGUCGAGCGGAAACGAGUUAUCAGAACCUUCGGGGAACGAUAACGGCGUCGAGCGGCGGACGGGUGAGUAAUGCCUAGGAAAUUGCCCUGAUGUGGGGGAUAACCAUUGGAAACGAUGGCUAAUACCGCAUGAUGCCUACGGGCCAAAGAGGGGGACCUUC
rnacentral:rRNA from 1 species